GCCAGUUCAGUUAAGUAAAAAAAACAACAAUUUUUAACCUCUAUUAUAGUUUCCUCCAGUUAAAUUUUUAAGUAUUUGCUAAUUAUCCUAAUUAGAUACACACCUUCAUCACCAUACACUUGUAUUUAAUUUUGUCUCUGAUGCAGCCCACUUACUAUCGGCGACAGAUCGAUAUAAAAUCAAAAAUAGUCCCAAAACUAGCCAAAAACAAUCCAAUAGAACCAACACACCUCUAAAAAAAACAUUUAAAUACUUCAGGCUUUCCCAUCGUGCUGAACAUGGGCCGGCUGCUCGCCUCCUUUUUCAUAAUCCCCACGAUAAUGGGGGCAAUCAAUCUGGGCGACGCCGCACCUCAAUUAGGAACUUGUAAUUGGGAAUCGACGUGCCCUUUGUCAUGCCAGAUGAAAGGUUGCAAAUACGGAUCGUGCUUUGGAGAAAUCUGUAGAUGCUCGUAUUGUGAAAAUAAUACAUCCGAACAACUGUCAGCAUGAUGCAGAUGAUUAUCCAAAUUUUUUAAAAUAUUUUUCAUCCUAAAAUACCGUAAAAACUCAAAUAGGCUCAAAUAGUGACCUUGCUCAAAUAGUAGCCUUAUGCUCAACCAUGUUGUAUCCGGGUCGCAGCUUUCAAUUUUUUUUAAUAGUAGCUCCCGGCUACUAUUUGAGUUUUUACGGUAAAAUAAGUCCCUGUUCGUAACAAGGAAUAGCUAAAUUUAUACAUCUGUACUCUGGAAUCUGGAAAUUGAUAAUGAGUAAUUCUUAGAAUAUGUAACUUUCAUUUUAUUUAUUUUGAUAAAGUGCUCUUGCCCCUUA